GGGGCAUUAGCUCAGCUGGGAGAGUGCUUGCAUGGCAUGCAAGAGGUCAGGGGUUCGAGCCCCCUAUGCUCCA
rnacentral:tRNA from 4 species